UACAGAGGUGGCAAGCGUUGUUCGGAUUUACUGGGCGUAAAGGGUCCGUAGGCGGUUCGGUUAGUCAAAUGUGAAAGCCCACAGCUCAACUGUGGAACUGCAUUUGAAACUGCCGAGCUAGAGUGUGGGAGGGGUUAAGGGAAUUCCCGGUGUAAGGGUGAAAUCUGCAGAGAUCGGGAGGAACACCAGUGGCGAAGGCGCUUAACUGGCUCACUACUGACGCUCAGGGACGAAAGCUAGGGUAGCAAACGGG
rnacentral:rRNA from 1 species